GGAAAGCUAGGAAUGUGGGCGGUGCUCUCAGUGACUGUGGAGGGUUUGCUUGUUAAAAAUGCAUCCCAGAUUUCGUUCCGAGCACUAGCUAGCAUCUACACAAAUGCCAGCUCUCAGUCAUCAGUUCUGUAGUUCACAAUGGCCGAUACACAACCAAGUUGCUUGGAGAUGUGAGGUGUUACUGGAGAGGGUAGAUCAAAUGACUUAAACAGAUUUAAAUCAGAAAUAUUCCCCACAGGUUCCCGACUCUUGAAAACCCAGUGGUAGCCGGGCGUGGUGGUGCACGCCUUUAAUCCCAGCACUUGGGAGGCAGAGGCAGGCGGAUUUCUGAGUUCGAGGCCAGCCUGGUCUACAGAGCGAGUUCCAGGACAGCCAGGACUACACAGAGAAACCCUGUCUCAGAAAACCAAAAAAAAAAAAAAGAAAAGAAAAGAAAAGAAAAGAAAACCCAGUGGUGCUGUUUUGGGGGAGGUUAUGGAUAAAUUUAGGUAGUGCAGUCUCGCUGGAGAUAGAACAUCACUGGAGGAGGGCUUGCUUCAUUCCUACCUCUUUCUCUCUGCUUCCUUUGUAUAGUUGAGAUGUGCUGCUAUCUCAGCUUUCUGCUCCUACAGUCUACUGCCAGGCAUCCCUCACCGUUGUGGGUUCUCCCUCUGGAACCUUAAACCAAAGACAACCAUUUCUUCUGUGAGUUGCUUUUGGACUUGACAUUUUUAUCACAGCAAUACAAAAGUAUUUUACAUAGAAGUUGUCCUCAGGAUGGGGGUCUCCGCCGAGACCCAAGCACCAUUUUUUACUGCUUCAUCCAAUGGCUUCUAACACCUCCUUGCAUGGGUCCCUUGCCACACAUUUCCUGGUCUCAGAAGCUGUCUAAAACCAUGACUGAAGGAUCUAUAACUUGCAUUUUUCACAGCCCCAAAGCCAUGGGAUGGUAUGCCAAGUGUGACUCUUACCCCCUCGAAUCACAUUUGCAGCAGUUCUUUAUGCUUUUAUUUUCUGGAGCAGAACACCCCUAGGCUUUCUCCAGUCACAAACUGGAAGCUUAACUGGGUGGGGUCUUGUCCUGAGGGCACCUGUCCCUGUAUUUCAAUGAGGAGCCAGAAGCCUCUACUGAAUGCCACCAAUCUUAUCAAUGGCAUCCUCUCUUUCAACACAUGGAACAUUAAGCUUUUGUGUGCUCUUUUUCUCUCCAAACUGUACAUGUCUAACUGUUCUCUUUUGUCUCCCUUCCUGCUGUUUUUCAUUGUGAACCUGCAUAAGAUUUAUUAGUAAUAACUGCACUGCAGACUCAACAUCCUGCUGAUUUAAAAAGCCAUGUUCAGGAAGAGUUUGUUUUGGCUCCUGGGUCUAGAGGACUAGAUGUUGACAGUGGUGAGGGAGGCAUGACCGCAGGCAGCCAGAGCUGAAGGCUGAGAGAUCACGUGUCAACCGUACAAAAGGAAACAGUGAACGGACUAAAAGUGGGGUCUCUCAGGGUUUUAUCGCUCUGAAGAGACACUGUGACCACUGCAACUUAUAAAGGAAAACAUGUAAUUGGAGCUGGCUUACAGUUUCAGAGGUCUAGUCCAUUAUCAUGGCAGGAAGCAUAGCGACAUGCAGGCAGACCGGAGAAGGAGCUGAGGGUUCUAAACCUUGAUUCCCAGAUAGCAGAAGUGAAUGCCACACUAGGAAUAGCUUGCACAUCUGAGACCUCAAAGCCUGCUCUAGUAGUGAUGGCACACUUCCUCCAACAAGGCCACCACCCACUCUAAUGCCUCCUAAUAAUGCCACUCUCUGUGGGGCAAGCAUUCAUACACACAAGUCUAUGGAGACCAUUCCCAUAUCAAACCACCAUAUAAGCUUCAAAUUUCACACACACCCCCAGCCUCCUCCAGCAAAUCUAUAAAAAUUCUAUAAAAUAUAUAACUUUCUCAAAUAGCGCUACCAACGGCAGACCAAGUGUUCAAAGCCCCGGUGGGAGGAGAGUGUUUCUCAUUUAAACCACUAUACUUGGUAAAGAAGAUGAGUCAUUACGAUUUAUUUCUGAUAACCCUAGAACGUGCUGCAUUUGGAAAGUUUGCUAACAUGGGUGAGUGGAGCUUCUCUGGGUAGAGCUAGACGCAAUAUUUUUCUUCUAAUCUCUACACCACAGUCAUUAGCCAUUCCACACCUGCUGAUUUCCUGCUCCCUUGAGAGACUUCACUGAUGGGUUUCUGAUCAUUCUUCACAGAUUACAUCUCUCCACUUAUGUGUAGUGACAAGAAUCCUCUCCUCUUAGUUCCGCUCAGUUCAAGGAGAUAGCCAACACUCACUUCAUUUGAGCUCUGGCCUCCCACAGCUUGUGUGGUUCAGGAGGAUGUGGGCUGGGAUCUUGCUUCCUUUGGCUCUUAGAACUUCAUCUCUGCCUUUACUCCUGCUUCCUGGAGUUCUAUGGGGGAAGAGAGAAGUCAAAGCCUUGGAAUGUCUUGGUUGAGGGGAAAUGCCAGGCCCUGGAACGUCUUGGUUGACUAGUAAUUCCGGGCCCUGGAAUGUUGGUUGAUUGGCAACACCAGGCAUUUUUGUUGGUUCAGAUACUGCUACUGCCUCCUAAGCCCGGGCUUUUUUCCAUUUGUCUCCGGGAGGUAGGGUAUUCUUCUCAUUCGAGAAUGUCAACUUUGAAAACCACCAUCCAAGCUCCUGGUAAGGAGAUAAUCACAGUUUUUCUUCUCAGUGGGGAAAUGAAUGCUCCCAGUUGUCCCAAAGUUCAAUGGUCCUGCACUGUGGGUCUUAAAGAUGGUUUUAUGAAUAUUCAUGAUGUAAGUAGCAUAUUCAUGAAUGGAUGUGGCCCUUUUUCCUUCCCAAAUCAUGGUGGGAUAGACUUCCCUUGUAGGGCACCUCUUCCUAUGAUUCCCCAGAAAGCCUACAAGAGGUUGGGUCACAAUCACAAUGUAAUUAGCAUGAAAGGUGGUUAGGGUCGUCUGAGGAUGCAGAUCCACAUGUUAGUGCACAUCUGCAGGAACUGGCAAAGCCAUCUUGGGCCUUUGAGUCUGAUCUAGCGGGAAGGACCCAUUUGCAGUCUGCAGGCACUUCCAUCACAAAAGGCCAUUCUGUCAGCAAAUACAGCUUCCAAAGUCUUACACGCGUUCUCGCGACCAGCCAGGAAGAACGCAACAAACCGGAAUCUUCUGCGGCAAAGCUUUAUUGCUUACAUCUUCAGGAGCCAGAGAGCAAGAGAGCAAGAGUGCAAGAGUGCAAGAGAGGGCUGGAGAGAUGGCUCAGCGGUUAAGAGCACUGACUGCUCUUCCAGAGGUCCUGAGUUCAAUUCCCAGCAACCACAUGGUGGCUCACAACCAUCUGUAAUGAGAUCUGAUGCCCUCUUCUGGUGUAUCUGAAGAUAGCAACAGUGUUCCCACAUACAUGAAAUAAAUAAAUAAAUAAACC
rnacentral:lncRNA from 1 species